GACGAACGCUGGCGGCGUGCUUAACACAUGCAAGUCGAGCGGUAAGGCCCUUUCGGGGGUACACGAGCGGCGAACGGGUGAGUAACACGUGGGUGACCUGCCCUUAGCCCUGGGAUAAGCCUGGGAAACUGGGUCUAAUACCGGAUAUGACUCCAUGACGCAUGUUGUGGGGUGGAAAGCCUUGUGCGGCUAGGGAUGGGCCCGCGGCCUAUCAGCUUGUUGGUGGGGUGAUGGCCUACCAAGGCGACGACGGAUAGCCGGCCUGAGAGGGUGAUCGGCCACACUGGGACUGAGACACGGCCCAGACUCCUACGGGAGGCAGCAGUGGGGAAUAUUGCGCAAUGGGCGAAAGCCUGACGCAGCGACGCCGCGUGAGGGACGAAGGCC
rnacentral:rRNA from 1 species